UAGUAGUAAUAUUUUUAAUAAAACUAAUUUAUUUUGGCGGCAUUUCAUCUAGUUAGAGGAAUCUGUUUUAUAAUUGAUAAUCCACAUUCAAUUUCACUUAAAUUAAAAAUCUACAUACCGCCGUCUAAAGAACUUAUUUAAUAAAUUUUAUUCAAAAUACACUUUAAAAAGUUAGGUCAAGGUGUAAUCUACAUUUAAGAUAGAAAUGGAUUACUUUUAAUACUAUUUAUAAAUUAUAUUACUAAAAAAAUAUAUGAAUUAGGAUUUAUUAGUAAAUUUUCAAUACAAUUUUAAUUUGAAUAAGAUAAUAAAUGUGU
rnacentral:rRNA from 1 species